rnacentral:rRNA from 1 species
AUUGAACGCUGGCGGCAGGCCUAACACAUGCAAGUCGAGCGGAGCGGCGGACGGGUGAGUAAUGCCUAGGAGUCUGCCUGGUGGUGGGGGAUAACGUCCGGAAACGGGCAAUAAUACCGCAUACUAUCAGAUGAGCCUAGGUCGGAUUAGCUAGUUGGGGGGGUAAAGGCCUACCAAGGCGAGGAUCCGUAACUGGUCUGAGAGGAUGAUCAGUCACACUGGAACGGAGACACGCUCCAGAUUCCACCGGGAGGAAGCAGUGGGGAAUAUCGGACAAUGGGCGAAAGCCUGCUGCAGCCAUGCCGCGUGUGUGAAGAAGGUCUUCGGAUUGUAAAGCACUUUAAGUUGGGAGGCGUUACCAACAGAAUAAGCACCGGCUAACUUCGUGCCAGCAGCCGCGGUAAUAC